GGAGUGGUAGUUCAGUUGGUUAGAAUACCGGCCUGUCACGCCGGGGGGCGCGGGUUCGAGUCCCGUCCACUCCG
rnacentral:tRNA from 1 species